GUGUAGUUGCAUGUCGGCACUCGGUUUAGCAUAGCGUCACGGUCGUUUUGUUUAAGUGGUCUUCGUUUAUUAAAGAAGAAUGUAUUCGGUGCCUUGGUCUCCUGACGAACGUGACAUACUCUCCACACAAGAAAUAUAGCUUUAUCUCUCUCUUCAAAAUCCAUAUCUGUACAUCAUCAUUUUCCAGAUGAAAUCCAAGUUUUGUGUAAAUUAGGCUCUGGCACUAUCUGUUGACCGGAGCAGCUCAGAAAUUGGAUAAACUGAUUUGUUGGAAAGGUGGCAUCUGUAUAUACCGUAUAGUGGGCUAUUUGGAAACGGGGUUUCAAUAGCGGUGAAACAAUCCAUUAGACAUUUUUCAAUACGUUUGAAUAUUGGUUGCUACUUUUUAAAAUGAAUACCUGGAGUCAACUUGUGCAAUGUGUUCGGAAAAUAAAUCAGAACACGAUCUGAUUUAUCUUACAUUAUGAAGCUUAAGUAGUUCCCGAGAACUGUUGAGGCAGUGACGUGCUUGUAAAUCGCCCAGCAGGAGAAAGCAGGAGCAGCCCGUCUGUUCUUCCCAGCUCUUCUCCAAGCAGAGCAGGGAGGCCUGUUUCCCUAGUGACUCCAGAUCCCACACAGCGUGUAGACAUGCUGCUCCAGAGCCAGUACUGUUCUUUCUUCAGACAAGCGUGCUUUAAAACUUAGUUUUUGUUUUUGUCUCUUGUUCACAUUCGCUUGUAAAUGCCGAAAACUCACCAAAAGAAAUAUCGCUAAAUGUAAUUAUGUAGGAGAUGUAAGUCACACUGCUGAAGUACUCCUGCUAAAUUACAAAAAUAUAAAAUAUGCAUAACCUUA